GCCCGGCAAGCGAGUUGGCCAGCUGCUGGGGCUGGUCAAAAGGAACCAGAUCGCCUCUCCACCUGAUUUGGUCCCCUUCAACCGGCUGCAGCGGGUUGCCGGCCUCUCCCUACCUUCU
rnacentral:pre_miRNA from 13 species